UACGAAGGGUGCAAGCGUUACUCGGAAUUACUGGGCGUAAAGGGUGCGUAGGCGGGUCUUUAAGUCAGGCGUGAAAGCCCUGGGCUCAACCUGGGAGUGGCGCUUGAUACUGAAUGACUAGAGUGCGGGAGAGGAAAGUGGAAUUCCUGGUGUAGCGGUGAAAUGCGUAGAUAUCAGGAGGAACACCGGUGGUGUAGACGGCUUUCUGGACCGUAACUGACGCUGAGACACGAAAGCGUGGGUAGCAAACAGG
rnacentral:rRNA from 1 species